UAAGAGGCUUUUAUAAAAGCCAUAUUUGAAUAGCUUGAAUUAUUAU
rfam:Physcomitrella patens subsp. patens PHYPAscaffold_36 genomic scaffold, whole genome shotgun sequence.